UACGAAGGGGGCGAGCGUUGUUCGGAAUUACUGGGCGUAAAGGGCGCGUAGGCGGCCUGUUAAGUCGAACGUGAAAUCCCCGGGCUCAACCCGGGAACUGCGUCCGAUACUGGCAGGCUUGAAUCCGGGAGAGGGAUGCGGAAUUCCAGGUGUAGCGGUGAAAUGCGUAGAUAUCUGGAGGAACACCGGUGGCGAAGGCGGCAUCCUGGACCGGCAUUGACGCUGAGGCGCGAAAGCGUGGGGAGCAAACAGG
rnacentral:rRNA from 1 species